AUUCCAGUGGGCCUGAAAGGGAUCUCUACACACUAACAAGUACAAAUGAAUAACAACAGAACAAGAAUGCUGUCUUUUCUUAAAGCAUCUUAAAUCCCUUUUUCUAUUCCUAGACACUUCACAGUGCUUAAUGAGCAUGUGAGAAAAAGCCACGAAAGGACAUUGCUUUGAAAGCAAAUGCUUGCUUGCAAUUUUGUAUGGGUGGGCCAAAGCAAGGAAGACCUAACAACACAGUUCUCAACAGCAUGGUGCAUCCCUUAAUAUUGACCAGAAGAGGAAUGAACAUGCACCCUCAAUGCAUGGCACUCAUCCAGCCACUGACCAGCAAGAAUCAAGGCCUGAGACAACUUAAAUUCCCCAUGGAUGCAGAAACAGGUCUGGAAGUAAAGGAUAAGAAUGUUUCCCCAGACAGGACACAAAAACA
rnacentral:lncRNA from 1 species